rnacentral:rRNA from 1 species
AUUGAACGCUGGCGGCAAGCCUAACACAUGCAAGUCGAACGAGUGGCGGACGGGUGAGUAAUGUCUGGGAAACUGCCUGAUGGAGGGGGAUAACUACUGGAAACGGUAGCUAAUACCGCAUACCAUCGGAUGUGCCCAGAUGGGAUUAGCUAGUAGGUGGGGUAAAGGCAGACCUAGGCGACGAGCCCUAGCUGGUCUGCUAGGCGUACCGGCCACACUGGAACUGAGACAGGGACCAGACUCCGACGGGAGACAGCAGUGGGGAAUAUUGGACAAUGGGCGCAAGCCUGAUGCAGCCAUGCCGCGUGUAUGAAGAAGGCCUUCGGGUUGUAAAGUACUUUCAGCGGGGAGGCGUUACCUGCAGAAGAAGCACCGGCUAACUCCGUGCCAGCAGCCGCGGUAAUUC